UACGUAGGGGGCUAGCGUUGUCCGGAAUCAUUGGGCGUAAAGAGCGUGUAGGCGGUCCGGUAAGUCCGCUGUGAAAGUCGGGGGCUCAACCCUCGAAUGCCGGUGGAUACUGUCGGGCUAGAGUACGGAAGAGGCGAGUGGAAUUCCUGGUGUAGCGGUGAAAUGCGCAGAGUAUCAAGGAGGAACACCUAUUGCGAGGCAGCUCGCUGGGACGUAACUGACGCUGAGACGCGAAGCGUGGGAGCAACAGGAUAGA
rnacentral:rRNA from 1 species